UCGGGAAUUUUGGGCAAUGGGCGAAAGCCUGACCCAGCAACGCCGCGUGAAGGAUGAAGUAUUUCGGUAUGUAAACUUCGAAAGAAUAGGAAGAAUAAAUGACGGUACUAUUUAUAAGGUCCGGCUAACUACGUGCCAGCAGCCGCGGUAAUACGUAGGGACCAAGCGUUGUUCGGAUUUACUGGGCGUAAAGGGCGCGUAGGCGGCUUGACAAGUCACUUGUGAAAUCUCUGGGCUUAACCCAGAACGGCCAAGUGAAACUGUCAUGCUAGAGUGCAGAAGGGGCAAUCGGAAUUCUUGGUGUAGCGGUGAAAUGCGUAGAUAUCAAGAGGAACACCUGAGGUGAAGACGGGUUGCUGGGCUGACACUGACGCUGAGGCGCGAAAGCCAGGGGAGCAAACGGGAUUAGAUACCCUUGUAGUCCCUGAGCGGGCUGGCAAGGCGCAU
rnacentral:rRNA from 1 species